CACAUUUAUGACUCAGUGUUUAGCAGUCAGUGGAGCUGCUGAAUCACACACUUAUGAAGAAUGUAUGCUGUUGUUUUUAUUCUCAUCUCCACUCACCUUGAUACAGUGUGUUCCCACAUAGUCAUGGUUUAAGAUGGUUAAGGCAGUGUCUGGAGAAGAAAACAGAAUAAGAGAAGAGUAAUAUCCCACCAUAGACUCAUGCUGACUUUUUACAAGCUUGAAGUGUGGCUCCAAAUGAAACAUCUGCAGGUGCCAUGUGGAGAACGACAGAUCCGUUACCCGGGCAACAGCUCCUUCUCCAGUUAACAUCAGAGGCAUCUUCCCCCAUCUAACUUUUCCUACUUAAGUCCCACUUGUGUCCUGUUCUGUGCCAGUUUGCUUUGUUGAGUCUGGUGUAGGUCGUGUGAUCUCCAGUCGAUGUAUUCCUGGGAUUUCCUGAAGACUUUGGUGGAGAAUGACAGAUCCGUUAAAACAGCUCGUUCUCCAACUAACAUCAUCAAUGGCACCUGCUCCCUAUCUACCUUUUUGCUACUUACGUCCCACUUUUGUUCUGUGCCAGUUUGUUUUGUUGAGUCUAAUGUGAGUCAUGUGAUCUCCAGUCAAUGUAUU